rnacentral:tRNA from 1 species
GGGGCAGUAGCUCAGUUGGGAGAGCGCGUGCUUUGCAAGCAUGAGGUCGGGAGUUCGAUUCUCCUCUGCUCCACCA